rnacentral:rRNA from 1 species
AAUAGAUACCCAGGUAGUCCACGCCGUAAACGAUGAGUGCUAAGUGUUAGAGGGUUUCCGCCCUUUAGUGCUGCAGCUAACGCAUUAAGCACUCCGCCUGGGGAGUACGGUCGCAAGACUGAAACUCAAAGGAAUUGACGGGGGGCCCGCACAAGCGGUGGAGCAUGUGGUUUAAUUCGAAGCAACGCGAAGAACCUUACCAGGUCUUGACAUCCCACUGACCGGUAUAGAGAUAUACCUUUCCCUUCGGGGACAGUGGUGACAGGUGGUGCAUGGUUGUCGUCAGCUCGUGUCGUGAGAUGUUGGGUUAAGUCCCGCAACGAGCGCAACCCUUGAUCUUAGUUGCCAGCAUUUAGUUGGGCACUCUAAGGUGACUGCCGGUGACAAACCGGGAGGAAGGUGGGGAUGACGGUCAAAUCAUCAUGCCCCUUAUGACCUGGGCUACACACGUGCUACAAUGGAUGGUACAAAGGGGCUGCGAGACUGCGAAGUCAAGCCAAUCCCAUAAAACCAUUCUCAGUUCGGACUGCAGG